AGCCCACUCUGGAACGACCAGGGUCCUGGCCCGGGUUCAGCGGGGUGGCCCCUACCUGGCUGGGAGGGUCCUUCCCAGGCCCCAUGUCACUAUGGUAACGCCCCCGUGGUGCCACAACGCGGCAGGGGCUCGGCCCCUCAGGGACACGCUGCCCCCUGGCCGCCCGGGAAAUCCUGGAGGCUGCUCAGUGCCCUCUGCCCUUAUUCUUCUUAUGGGGGGAUAUUGCUGCUUAGGGCCCCCAGCGGGCCAGCACUGCCUUUGUGGCCAUGGUCCAGGUCCAUUAUAGAGAUGAAUAGCCUGUUGAUAUUUGCUGCGCUUGUUGCCUGCUGUGAUUAUAAGAGUGUCUUUCAAACUGGAACGUAUGUUGAGAUGUCAGCAUGGCACAUGGGAGUGCUUUGGAGUUUAACAAAAUGAUUAAAGCUGCUACUGGGAAAUGUCAUGUUUUCCUAUUACGGAUGUUACUGUGGAUUAAGUGGAAAGGAAACUGCACUAGAUGUUACUGAAAGGAGAAGCAUAAAAUUCUGUCUAGCUACAGAAAACACUUUUCUGGACAAGAGCCAGCUACUAUCUGUCUGGGAUCGGGAAGAAAUUUCCCUUAUGGGCAGGUUAUUUUGUAAUUGUCCCUUAUGGGUUUUUUGUACCUUCCUCUGAAAUAUCUGAUACUGGUCACUGUCUGAAACCUCUAUUCUUCACAAUCACAUUCAAGGGCACAAGCUUAACUCUAACCUUAGCAAAUUUAAGAUACUCUACUAGGAGGCGUGCUGUCACUUUAAAAGUCUAACCAAAAAGGUGGGGGGUAAGAGGGUAAAGUGUCUAACUUUAACUGAGGGACUGGAUGUGUGCAUCAUGGGUACUUGUAUGCUGGCACUGAAAGAGGGUUUAUUGUGCAGACGACAAGUAUAUAACUGUAUUUGGGUAUAGUGGGGUUUGGGUGGUAAGGCAUGUGAAUUGUGGUUGUCUUGGGUAUUCAUUUUGCUUUACCUGAUGGUGGCCUUUUCCCUAUAAGGCUUAUUUAACUUUUUUCUCCAGUUUAGGGUUGAGUUAGGGGAUGAAGGUGUGAGAUGACAAGAGUAAAAUAUCCCAACUCUCGUAUAUAAUGCAGUGUAGAGAAAAUUUUGAAACUUUGUGACCCAGGCCUGAUUUUUGUAUGUUUCUCCCUCAAGGUGCUGCUAUAUCCCUGACUGCUGUCAAGGCAAACAAAGAGAAAAGAACUUUAAGCUGGUACUGACGAAAUAGAAGUUCAGCAUCAGCGAUGGAAAAAUCAUCUGCAGUGAGUACUUUUCUGCUGCAUGGACAAAUUGCAUUGCAGUUUCUUUGUUGCCCUCAAGUCCAUCUCCAUUUUAUCUUUGGAUUAAUGUUAGCGGGGCCUGGAAAAGCCAAAAGAGUGAAAAUUGUUCAGAGGGCUGGGCUAAUGUAGCUACUUACAGUAUGUGACCAAGGGUAGAAAGAAAUGUCAGCUCUCUGUGGUGAUGCUACUACAAAAACAUCCCAGCGUGCAGUGAUGCCAGGGGGUCGAUUCUUUGCCCCAGAACAGUGCAGUAAACUCAAGAAUAUAAAUUCCAUCCCAAGUUUAAGAUAAUCUCUCUCUCUUGAUAGCCGUAUUGCAUACUGGGAUGUUUUUGCAGCAGCAUCCCCACAUAGAAAGCUGGUUUUUCUCUUCUUUGUAAGCUUGGUCACAUACUGUAAGUAGGUGGUCUAAAAGACCAUUUCUAAGUAAUAUUAAAUGAUAGGCAGACUGAAACAUACACGUGGUAAUACAUAUGCACACACACACAUCAUUGUGGGGGAAUAACAUAAUAAUAAAAUAAUAGUGGAAAAUAGCAUACAAAGGGCCAAAUUCAUCCCUAUGAUAAUUCCACUGACUCCUGCAGAUUUGCAGGAUGUAGUGGCCCAUUGGCUGUUAUUUUCAGUACUGUUUGUACAAUUUCGUCUCUCAGCAUUCAGCACCGUCUCCACCCACUAACUAAAUCAGCUCAUUAAAGCAGGUACAGAAGUGGGCUUGUUAAACUUUUAUAGCAUGUAACCUACUGAAUACUCCAUUGUUUUUCUUUUAAUCUUUCUAAGAAUUCCCACCUCCGAGUGAUCAAACAUUUAUAGCUAUUGUUAUCUUUUCGGUGGCUCAUACACAAGGCCUUCAGUUGAAACCCCACCCGCUUGUGGCAAGCAAGAAAUUCCACCCUGCGGUGGCUGCCUAAGUAACGAGCACAGCUAGAGAUAAGGAAUGUACACCGUGAAACAGCAACGUAAAAACCUUCACCACGUCAACCAUGCUGCACAUUAUGGAGGUUGACACUGUCAAAUCUUGUAGUGUAGCUACAAAUCAAAGUGAUUGGGCAAAGACUCCACUUCAACCCCACUUCUGUUCGCUCUGUGACUAUAAGACUAGUCUUUGGGCUCAUUUUCCUCUCACAUUGAUGCAAACCCACAAUGAGGUCCAAAUCGAUUCCUGUGUUCCCUUUGGUCGAUGGUUUUAUGCACUAUUAGACUCCACAAGGAGAGCUGCGUGUUAUUUGGGACCCCUUGUACUCCUCUUGCUUGAGGGUCAAGAUCAGCUGGGAUGCUUGAGCUGACGGGGCAUAGAUUUGCAUGUCAGGAGGCGGCAAUAUGGUGUUCAUGGUGACUCUGGAACUCAGCCA